rnacentral:rRNA from 1 species
GACGAACGCUGGCGGCGUGCUUAACACAUGCAAGUCGAACGGAAAGGCCUGCUUUCCCUUGUGGAUUGCGGGUACUCGAGUGGCGAACGGGUGAGUAACACGUGAGUGAUCUGCCCCCAACUUGGGUAUAAGCCUGGGAAACUGGGUCUAAUUCCCGAUAGGACUGCAGGGUGGUGCCUGUGGUAGAAAACGAUUUUCUAGUGGUUGGGGAUGAGCUCGCGGCCUAUCAGCUUGUUGGUGGGGUAAUGGCCUACCAAGGCGGCGACGGGUAGCCGGCCUGAGAGGGUGGACGGCCACAUUGGGACUGAGAUACGGCCCAGACUCCUACGGGAGGCAGCAGUGGGGAAUAUUGCACAAUGGGCGGAAGCCUGAUGCAGCGACGCCGCGUGGGGGAUGACGGCCUUCGGGUUGUAAACUCCUUUCGACCGCGAGGAAGCCACCUGGUUGGAAGGGUGGUGACGGUAGUGGUAGAAGAAGCUCCGGCUAACUACGUG